UACGAAGGGUGCAAGCGUUACUCGGAAUUACUGGGCGUAAAGCGUGCGUAGGCGGUUUGUUAAGUCUGCUGUGAAAGCCCCGGGCUCAACCUGGGAACGGCAGUGGAUACUGGCAAGCUAGAGUGUGUCAGAGGAUGGUGGAAUUCCCGGUGUAGCGGUGAAAUGCGUAGAGAUCGGGAGGAACAUCAGUGGCGAAGGCGGCCAUCUGGGACAACACUGACGCUGAGGCACGAAAGCGUGGGGAGAAAACAGG
rnacentral:rRNA from 1 species